GAUGAACGCUAGCGGCAGGCCUAACACAUGCAAGUCGAGGGGUAGAAGGAGCUUGCUCCUUUGAGACCGGCGCACGGGUGCGUAACGCGUAUGCAAUCUACCUUGUACAGGGGAAUAGCCCAGAGAAAUUUGGAUUAAUGCCCCAUAGUAUAUAACCUUCGCAUGUUGGUUAUAUUAAAGUUCCAACGGUACAAGAUGAGCAUGCGUCCCAUUAGUUAGUUGGUAAGUAACGGCUUACCAAGACGAUGAUGGGUAGGGGUCCUGAGAGGGAGAUCCCCCACACUGGUACUGAGACACGGACCAGACUCCUACGGGAGGCAGCAGUGAGGAAUAUUGGUCAAUGGUCGCAAGACUGAACCAGCCAUGCCGCGUGCAGGAAGACGGUCCUAUGGAUUGUAAAACUGCUUUUAUACAGGAAGAAACCCUCCCAGUGUGGGAGCUUGACGGUACUGUAGGAAUAAGGAUCGGCUAACUCCGUGCCAGCAGCCG
rnacentral:rRNA from 1 species